UACGGGGGGGGGCAAGCGUUGUUCGGAAUUACUGGGCGUAAAGGGCGCGUAGGCGGCAUGACAAGUCACUUGUGAAAUCUCUGGGCUUAACCCAGAACGGCCAAGUGAUACUGUCGCGCUAGAGUACAGAAGGGGCAAUCGGAAUUCUCGGUGUAGCGGUGAAAUGCGUAGAUAUCGAGAGGAACACCAGAGGUGAAGACGGGUUGCUGGGCUGACACUGACGCUGAGGCGCGAAAGCCAGGGGAGCAAACGGG
rnacentral:rRNA from 1 species